CGUUAUCAUUGUGCUUCCUCUUCUUUUUUUGGCAUCUUCUUCUUCUUCAUCUCUAUCCUCAGUUUCAUCUUCUUAUGCACCGAUGCUUUUGCCAUGCUUAGGUGGCUCUAUUCUAUCUUUGUCACUGUUGGACUCUUCUUCCACCGUGUCCAUUGUUGAUGCUAUUACAUUGAGUUAAAUCGCCAGAUCAAAACCCUUGUUGUAGCUGUAGGAAUUGUUUUCUCUCUUGAGCUACACCUCUGGUGCCAUUUUGCUACUGAUCCUAUCCGGUGAUGUUUUGCGUCCAUUGUCCUUUUCCUCUAUUUUACUUAUCUCUAUGUUAUGCAAUUAUGAGAAUUUUAUUGGAAGAUUAUAUUUGAUUGUGAUUGUCUGAUGAUAGAAUGAUUACGAUGAAGUUGGUUGAAACCUCUUAGAAGGUGGGUUAGAAUUUUAGAAUAUUGUAUUUGUUCUUUAAUUUGUGAUAAUUGAUGCUAAUUAGAGUUAAUUUGUGAUCAAUUAGCUCAUACUCUUUUGUUUUGAUUAAAGUUUUUAGUUCACAACCAUACAUGAUGUAUACGCUUCAAUUUAAUUUUCAGGCUCACGCCAUAUGGAGAAAGCUACAUUCUCAUUGCCACCAAACUUGAAUGCAGGUACACAAUAUAAGCUCUUUGGUAAUUAUGUGUUGAAUCUGCUACUUGAAUAAGUUGAAGAUUACCAACAUCAUCUACUUGUAUGAAUCUGCUAAGCUUCCAUCUUAUCAAAGGUCUGUAUGUCAUUUGCAAACUUGUGAAAGCAAAGAGGAAGCUACAAGUAGAGAAGACGAAACCACACAGCCUCGUGAUAACUCUAGCACUUUUUGCAAUGUAUUUGUACUUAAAUGACAUUUCUCAUUUUUUACAAUAAUGUAAUUGUACAA